rnacentral:rRNA from 1 species
AGAGUUUGAUCAUGGCUCAGGAUGAACGCUAGCGGGAGGCCUAACACAUGCAAGCCGAGCGGUAUUGUUUCUUCGGAAAUGAGAGAGCGGCGUACGGGUGCGGAACACGUGUGCAACCUGCCUUUAUCUGGGGGAUAGCCUUUCGAAAGGAGGAUUAAUACUCCAUAAUAUAUUGAACGGCAUCGUUUAAUAUUGAAAGCUCCGGCGGAUAGAGAUGGGCACGCGCAAGAUUAGCUAGUUGGUGAGGUAACGGCUCACCAAGGCAAUGAUCUUUAGGGGCCUGAGAGGGUGAUCCCCCACACUGGUACUGAGACACGGACCAGACUCCUACGGGAGGCAGCAGUGAGGAAUAUUGGUCAAUGGGUGCAAGCCUGAACCAGCCAUCCCGCGUGAAGGACGACUGCCCUAUGGGUUGUAAACUUCUUUUGUAUAGGGAUAAACCUUUCCACGUGUGGAAAGCUGAAGGUACUAUACGAAUAAGCACCGGCUAACUCCGUG